UACGUAGGGGGCAAGCGUUGUCCGGAAUCAUUGGGCGUAAAGCGCGCGUAGGCGGCCCGGUAAGUCCGUUGUGAAAGUCAAAGGCUCAACCUUUGAACGCCGAUGGAUACUGCCGGGCUAGAGUCCGGAAGAGGCGAGUGGAAUUCCUGGUGUAGCGGUGGAAUGCGCAGAUAUCAGGAGGAACACCAAUAGCGAAGGCAGCUCGCUGGGACGGUACUGACGCUGAGGCGCGAAGGUCAGGGGAGCAAACGGG
rnacentral:rRNA from 1 species